GAGGAGAAAGUUAAUUCAAACUCAUUAUCAGCAAUGUCUUUCAGAUGCUGGCUUGGCCUAGUAGGGAGUACUGUCUAAAUUCGAACCCAGGACUCGACAUGCAAAGGCUCUACAUGCAAAGUUCUUUCCAUUGUAUUUCCAUCGCUUUCUCUCAAGAGGAAACAACACCCUGCGAGAGAUAACGUCAAAAAUGUGGAUGGAGAAGAAGGGAGAUCGAAAUACGGAGAGAGAAAUACGAAGAGACACAGACAGAAACAGCCAAGCAGAAAGGCCCGGCUCGACGCUCCAGAGCUGCAACUCCCCCUAUCGUGCCCAAUGCGCACCAGCCUCUACAGCGGCUCUUGGGACUUCGGCGCACCAGCAGGAAGUACUCCCCGCUCUCCAACUCAGCCUCCCCCUGGUCCGACACCUACUUCCGGUCCUUUCCUUCCCAGAAGGGCGCGCAGGCGCUUUCGCAGCUGCUCUAGGACGCCCUGGAGGUCUUUUACAUCUCGGUGGUUUCCUGGCCUAGAAUAGGCACCUGAUUAACUGCUGCUUGAGUGGAAGCGAAGGGCCUAGUUUUAGGAGCUGGAUUCAGAUCUCUGGGCCGUCAGAGCCUGGAGAAAGCUAGGGAGCACAGAGUCAAAACCAUCUGUGGUACACAUGGGGAAACUGAGGGCCUAGGACCACAGGGAUUGGAGGAAACAUCAACUCCACCCCCUCAUUUUACAAAGGAAGAAACCGGCCCGAACAGGGCAGGGGAUUAGGACUAGAGUUAAAGGGACCUUUAAACAACAGCUGGGCCAAAGCCCUGAUUUUACAGGAGAAAGAUAGAAUGUUAGAGCUGGAAGGGGCUUUUUUCAGAGGUGGAAGCCAAGUCCCCCCUCCCCCCAAGCCAGGCUAGUGCAAAGGCAUCAGAUGUUCAAUGAAAGGAGGGGGUGGGGGGAUCAUUCUGACAUGACUUCUAGGUGUACAAUGGGUAACUGGAGGGCACAGCACAACCAUAGAACAGUGAUGCCACCCCUUCACAUCAACAUUUUGGGGCCUGUGUGCCACCUCCAAGGGUUCUUGGAGAUGGAUGGCAGCACUAGGUCUGGAGUCAGGAACUCAAACCUCAGACACUUACAUGUACAAGAGACUUAACCUCUGUCUGCCUCAGUUUCCUCAACUGUAAAAUAGGGAUAAUAAUAGCACCUCCGUCCCAGGGUUGUUGUGAGGAUCAAAUGAGCUAUUUGCAAAGUGCUUAGCACAGUGCCUGGCUAUUAUUAAAUGUUAAUUCCGGUCUGAAGUAUGUGCGUGUGCAUGUUCAUGUGUGCGCGUGCUCUUCUGACAGGCUGGUGUAGCCCACUGACCCCUUUUCAGAAUGUUUUUAAAUGCAUCAAAUAAAACACAGCAUUACUAAUGAGGCGAAAGGUUG
rnacentral:lncRNA from 1 species